CCGUAACUAUAACGGUCCUAAGGUAGCGAAAUUCCUUGUCGGGUAAGUUCCGACCCGCACGAAAGGCGUAACGAUUUGGGCACUGUCUCAACGAGAGACUCGGUGAAAUCAUAGUACCUGUGAAGAUGCAGGUUACCCGCGACAGGACGGAAAGACCCCGUGGAGCUUUACUGUAGCCUGAUAUUGAAAUUCGGCACAGCUUGUACAGGAUAGGUAGGAGCCUUUGAAACGUGAGCGCUAGCUUACGUGGAGGCGUUGGUGGGAUACUACCCUAGCUGUGUUGGCUUUCUAACCCGCACCACUUAUCGUGGUGGGAGACAGUGUCAGGCGGGCAGUUUGACUGGGGCGGUCGCCUCCUAAAAGGUAACGGAGGCGCUCAAAGGUUCCCUCAGAAUGGUUGGAAAUCAUUCAUAGAGUGUAAAGGCAUAAGGGAGCUUGACUGCGAGACCUACAAGUCGAGCAGGGUCGAAAGACGGACUUAGUGAUCCGGUGGUUCCGCAUGGAAGGGCCAUCGCUCAACGGAUAAAAGCUACCCCGGGGAUAACAGGCUUAUCUCCCCCAAGAGUUCACAUCGACGGGGAGGUUUGGCACCUCGAUGUCGGCUCAUCGCAUCCUGGGGCUGUAGUCGGUCCCAAGGGUUGGGCUGUUCGCCCAUUAAAGCGGUACGCGAGCUGGGUUCAGAACGUCGUGAGACAGUUCGGUCCCUAUCCGUCGUGGGCGUAGGAAAUUUGAGAGGAGCUGUCCUUAGUACGAGAGGACCGGGAUGGACAUACCUCUGGUGUACCAGUUGUCGUGCCAACGGCAUAGCUGGGUAGCUAUGUAUGGACGGGAUAAGUGCUGAAAGCAUCUAAGCAUGAAGCCCCCCUCAAGAUGAGAUUUCCCAACUUCGGUUAUAAGAUCCCUCGAAGAUGACGAGGUUAAUAGGUUCGAGGUGGAAGCGUGGUGACACGUGGAGCUGACGAAUACUAAUCGAUCGAAGACUUAAUCAAUUUUUAAA
rnacentral:rRNA from 1 species